rnacentral:rRNA from 1 species
AGUGAACGCUGGCGGUAGGCCUAACACAUGCAAGUCGAACGGCAGCACAGUAAGAGCUUGCUCUUACGGGUGGCGAGUGGCGGACGGGUGAGGUAUACAUCGGAAUCUACUUUUUCGUGGGGGAUAACGUAGGGAAACUUACGCUAAUACCGCAUACGACCUACGGGUGAAAGCAGGGGAACUUCGGACCUUGCGCGAUUGAAUGAGCCGAUGUCGGAUUAGCUAGUUGGCGGGGUAAAGGCCCACCAAGGCGACGAUCCGUAGCUGGUCUGAGAGGAUGAUCAGCCACACUGGAACUGAGACACGGUCCAGACUCCUACGGGAGGCAGCAGUGGGGAAUAUUGGACAAUGGGCGCAGGCCGGAUCCAGCCAUACCGCGUGGGUGAAGAAGGCCUUCGGGUUGUAAAGCCCUUUUGUUGGGAAAGAAAAGCAGCAGGUUAAUACCCCGCUGUUCUGACGGUACCCAAAGAAUAAGCACCGGCUAACUUCGUG